GACGGGGGGGGCAAGUGUUCUUCGGAAUGACUGGGCGUAAAGGGCACGUAGGCGGUGAAUCGGGUUGAAGGUGAAAGUCGCCAAAAAGUGGCGGAAUGCUCUCGAAACCAAUUCACUUGAGUGAGACAGAGGAGAGUGGAAUUUCGUGUGUAGGGGUGAAAUCCGUAAAUAUACGAAGGAACGCCAAAAGCGAAGGCAGCUCUCUGGGUCCCUACCGACGCUGGGUGCGAAAGCAUGGGGAGCGAACAGG
rnacentral:rRNA from 1 species